rnacentral:rRNA from 1 species
AUUGAACGCUGGCGGCAGGCUUAACACAUGCAAGUCGAGCGGGGUGAUGGUGCUUGCACUAUCACUUAGCGGCGGACGGGUGAGUAAUGCUUAGGAAUCUGCCUAUUAGUGGGGGACAACAUUCCGAAAGGAAUGCUAAUACCGCAUACGUCCUACGGGAGAAAGCAGGGGAUCUUCGGACCUUGCGCUAAUAGAUGAGCCUAAGUCGGAUUAGCUAGUUGGUGGGGUAAAGGCCUACCAAGGCGACGAUCUGUAGCGGGUCUGAGAGGAUGAUCCGGCACACUGGGACUGAGACACGGCCCAGACUCCUACGGGAGGCAGCAGUGGGGAAUAUUGGACAAUGGGGGGAACCCCGAUCCAGCCAUGCCGCGUGUGUGAAGAAGGCCUUAUGGUUGUAAAGCACUUUAAGCGAGGAGGAGGCUUACCUAGUUAAUACCUGGGAUAAGUGGACGUUACUCGCAGAAUAAGCACCGGCUAACUCUGUGCCAGCAGCCGCCGUAAUAC